rnacentral:rRNA from 1 species
UACGUAGGGUGCAAGCGUUGUCCGGAAUUAUUGGGCGUAAAGAGCGUGUAGGCGGCCAGGUAGGUCAGCUGUGAAAACUCGAGGCUCAACCUCGAGACGUCGGUUGAAACCACCUGGCUAGAGUCCGGAAGAGGAGAGUGGAAUUCCUGGUGUAGCGGUGAAAUGCGCAGAUAUCAGGAAGAACACCCGUGGCGAAGGCGGCUCUCUGGGACGGUACUGACGCUGCGACGCGAAAGCGUGGGGAGCGAGCAGG